UACGGAGGAUCCAAGCGUUAUCCGGAAUCAUUGGGCGUAAAGCGCCUGUAGGUUGUUUAAUAAGUCUGUUGUUAAAGCCUAGGGCUUAACCCUAGAAAAGCAAUGGAAACUACUAGACUAGAGUAUGGCAGGGGCAGAGGGAAUUUCUAGUGUAGCGGUGAAAUGCGUAGAUAUUAGAAAGAACACCGGUGGCGAAAGCGCUCUGCUGGACCAUUACUGACACUCAGAGGCGAAAGCUAGGGUAGCAAAAGGGAUUAGAUACCCCUGUAGUCCUAGCCGUAAACGAUGGAUACUAGAUGUUGUGCGUAAUGUACAGUAUCGCAGCUAACGCGUUAAGUAUCCCGCCUGGGGAGUACGCUCGCAAGGGUG
rnacentral:rRNA from 1 species